AAUCUCAUCUACAAUACUCCCAAAAUUGGUUUUAAUCUCUCUCUCUUUUAUCUUUCAGAGUUCUAACCAGAUCCAAAAACAAUCCUUUUCAACUUCAAUAUAGGUCAGACAACAAUCCUUCAAUAUAGUUCAAAUCAUAGUUAAUUACUUUUAUCCUUCAAUAUAUGACAAUAGAACGAAUCCUUCGAAUGAAAGGUGGUGUGGGAGAAACAAGCUAUGCAAAUAACUCCUUAUUACAGAGAAAAGUAAUAAUGAAAGUGAAGACCAUAAUGGAAGAGAAUUUGAAACUUUUUAUGUCCAACAUAACUUCUGAUGAUUGUUGGAAAAUAGUCGAUUUAGGUUGCUCUUCAGGACCAAAUACACUUAUAGCCAUCUAUAAUAUCCUGAACAUCAUCUAUAAAAUUUGUUUGAAGUUAAAUCACGGGACACCUAUGUUUCAAAUUUAUGUCAAUGAUUUGUUUGAAAAUGAUUUCAAUACCAUUUUCAAGUUACUCCCUGAUUUCUACCAAAUUAUACAACAAGAACGAGGACACAAUGUUGGAGCAUGUUUCAUAAAUGCAACACCAGGAAAUUUUUAUGGACGACUCUUUCCCAAUAAUUAUAUUAACAUUUUUCAUUCCUCUUAUUGUCUCCAUUGGCUAUCACAGGCACCGAAAGAUUCAACCACGGAAGCAGAGCCACUGAACAAAGGAAAUAUUUGUGUAACAAAAACAAGUCCUCCAUCAGUAUAUAAUGCAUAUUUUGAGCAAUUUCAAAUAGAUUUCAAACAUUUUUUAAAGUCACGCUUUAAGGAACUAGCAUCGGGUGGCUUGAUGGUAUUAACUUUCCUUAGCAGGGAAACAAAGUAUGAAAUCACUUCUUGCGAGGUACUUAGCACGGUUCUUAAUGAGAUGGUACAAGAGGGUUUGGUUGAAGAGACAAAGUUGGACUUGUUUAAUUUGCCUAUAUAUUAUCCUACAAUAAAAGAAGUUAGACAAGUGAUUAAGGAAGAAGGGUCUUUUACCCUUCAAACAUUGAAGACUUUUAAGAUAGGAUGGGAUGCAAACCUUCAAGAAGAUAGAGUUGAUUUUGUUGUUGAUAACAAUAUGAGAGGAAAGUUCAUAGCCAAAUAUCAUAGAGCUAUUUUUGAACCUCUUUUAGUUGUAGAGUUUGGUGAAAAUAUAUUGGAUGAAAUCUUCUCAAGGUUUGCAAAGUUGGUUGCACAACUUAUGGAGUUAGAGAGACUAGAAUAUACUAAUAUUGUAUUGUUCAUGACCAAGGAUCUUUAAAAAAUAAAAUAUCUUGGAUAAGGAUUUGCUUAUAGGAACCUUCUCUCACGGUUAAUCCCAUGUCGAAGCUAUGAUGAAGUGGUAAUUUACUGGAAUUAAACUCACAUAUAAAUGUGAGAUCCCGGGUCAUGACUUCCGGCCUAAUAAUUUCGACAUUUUGUCAGUUGAGCUAGGACUUAUGGGACGACUGAUAUAGGUUCUACUACACAUUUUAUUGUUAUUGACAUUACACACAUGUUAUUGUUAAUGCCAUAUUAGAGUGGUGUGAAAAAUGGUCCAAAUGUCAUAUUAUAUAAGUGUCAUCAUAUGAGAGUGGUCUUAUUUGAGUGUGUAUUUCUGGAUCCUACCGUGUAUAGGAUUCUAAUAUAGUUGUAAUUGGGUUGUUUUAUC